rnacentral:tRNA from 1 species
GCUUUGGUGGUUUAGUGGUAAAAUCCAUCGUUGCCAGCCUCCAAAUCACCAUGUUUCACAGCGUGGUUGACGACGACGAGCUCGAUGGGCCCCGUGUUCGAUUCACGGCCAAAGCA